UGAUUGGCACACUAUGGAAGUUUCGUUGCCCAUUGGUACAGCAAAUAUUGAUACCCCUGUUCAAGUUGUUGUUGGUGGUGGUUUCAUUUGUAGAAUCUCUUAAAUAAAACUUGGCAAGUGGGAAAGGCUCAAAAAUUUUUUUCCUUCUUUGGGCCUCAUGAAAAAUAACCAAAGUUUCAGUCAAACUCAGAGUGUCAAAGUUGG
rnacentral:misc_RNA from 1 species